rnacentral:tRNA from 1 species
GCGGGUAUGGUUCAGUGGUAGAACGCGAGCUUCCCAAGCUUGAGGCGGCGGUCCGAUUCCGCUUACCCGCUCCA